rnacentral:rRNA from 1 species
CCUACGGGUGGCACCAGUGGGGAAUAUUGCACAAUGGGCGCAAGCCUGAUGCAGCCAUGCCGCGUGUAUGAAGAAGGCCUUCGGGUUGUAAAGUACUUUCAGCGGGGAGGAAGGUGUUGAGGUUAAUAACCUCAGCAAUUGUCGUUACCCGCAGAAGAAGCACCGGCUAACUCCGUGCCAGCAGCCGCGGUAAUACGGAGGGUGCAAGCGUUAAUCGGAAUUACUGGGCGUAAAGCGCACGCAGGCGGUCUGUCAAGUCGGAUGUGAAAUCCCCGGGCUCAACCUGGGAACUGCAUUCGAAACUGGCAGGCUAGAGUCUUGCAGAGGGGGGUAGAAUUCCAGGUGUAGCGGUGAAAUGCGUAGAGGUCUGGAGGAAUACCGGUGGCGAAGGCGGUCCCCUGGACAAAGACUGACGCUCAGGUGCGAAAGCGUGGGGAGCAAACAGGAUUAGAUACCCGUGUAGUC